UUAAAAAUAGACUAAGUUUAAGUCAUUGGAUUCAUAAUUCAAAAAUAUAAUUAUUAUUUUUUAAU
rnacentral:tRNA from 1 species